rnacentral:rRNA from 1 species
AAUCCUGACUCAGGAUGAACGCUAGCUACAGGCUUAACACAUGCAAGUCGAGGGGCAGCAUGGUCUUAGCUUGCUAAGGCCGAUGGCGACCGGCGCACGGGUGAGUAACGCGUAUCCAACCUGCCUUACACUCUUGGACAGCCUUCUGAAAGGGAGAUUAAUACAAGAUGUUAUCAUGGGUAAGCAUUUUCGCAUGAUUAAAGGUUUACCGGUGUAAGAUGGGGAUGCGUUCCAUUAGA